UACGUAGGGGGCAAGCGUUGUCCGGAAUCAUUGGGCGUAAAGAGCGUGUAGGCGACCAGAUAAGUCCGCUGUGAAAUCUCGAGGCUCAACUUCGAGCUGUCGGUGGAAACUGUCUGGCUAGAGUCCGGAAGAGGAGAAUGGAAUUCCUGGUGUAGCGGUGAAAUGCGCAGAUAUCAGGAAGAACACCCGUGGCGAAGGCGGUUCUCUGGGACGGUACUGACGCUGAGACGCGAAAGCGUGGGGAGCGAACAGG
rnacentral:rRNA from 1 species